GCGAAGAUCUCGAGAUUUCGUUUCCUCCGAGGUAUGUGAUCGUCUACUUCAGCAUUUCGACACAAACCGCAUUCCAAGGCGAAGAUCGGCGGGCGAAUUCAUGACAUGCGUCCGAUCUAUUGGGGCGGAAUACGUUGUCUUACCAAUUUUUUGCUUCUCUACCCAAAGACGCAUACAGCCGUAAGAAAGCCAUUGAAAAUCCAGGUAAGACAUUCUUGCAAUGCACAAGCUUCGGAAGUUAAACUUGCAAUUCGUCCAAUACCUCACUGACCUUUCCGUGGAUUUCCCUUGAGAAACCGCUAGAGGUACUAUAGCACAGCGCAAAAGCAAGUCUAUAAGAUGCUUCUUUCCUUCGGCUAAAGCAGAUGAUGCCAAGUUUGUUUUCCGACAAGCAGAGUUUUGUUUUCAGGUAUCUGGAACGAAAAAUGCCCGCGCUUGUGGCUGGCAUCACCUGAAAAGAUGACACUGAUGGCACAGGACGAUAGUCUUCAUGAAAAGUUUUGAACGACGAGCUAAGGCUGAAGGACCUGCUAAAGUUUUAAACAAAGAGCUUAACGUCGUGAUGGUAAGUUUCAUUUCCAUUAGAACAGAGGUGAGUUUGAGGUCUUUUUCUCGUUCUGCCUCUCAGAGGCUUGUAGGCUACUAAUGGUAAGAGGUCGCUAAGCCUUUGGUUCUUACGAAGUUUAGCAACUUCGAGAAGGACCAAUCGUUUGUGCUGGUACGCUUGGUUUUUGUUUCAAAACCUUGAACAUGGUCUAGAUCCCAUUCUCGUUUAGCCGACGAGGUUUGGGACACAGACUAUGGGUACAGGAGAAAGUUUUUCGAAGCUGCUAAAACUCGUUAUUUUGAUUAUAUCCGCGUGCUGGUACAUAAGGAUUAUCUGUUAUAAGUUUUCCCAAUUUUUAGGACGAGCAUUCGUGAUCCAACGCUUGGUUUUGAUUCUCACAAGAAGGCGGGAAUAUCGGGCGGUUGUGAUUGAAGUUUCCAUAUCACAUGCAUCGGACGGCUGCGCUUAAAUUU